rnacentral:tRNA from 1 species
GCCGAUGUAGCUCAGUUGGUAGAGCAGUUGAUUUGUAAUCAUCAGGUCGUAGGUUCAAGUCCUAUCAUCGGCUCCA